GGGGGUGCAUUGGCUUCGACGGGGGUUGCGAAAUCACCUGGUGCAUGCCGAGGGGGCAGCUUUCCUCGUAAAUCCAGCGGCAAACUUCUAGUUGCCAACGACGACAACUACGCUCUCGCCGCUUAAGGCGUAAGCCCCGAACCCACUUGUGCCUGUGCUCGUGGAUGUAGGGUCAUUAUCACAGGAACCAGCCGCGGAGGUUGCCUGUCUUCCGCGGUUGAAUCUACAGGCUGGUUUCCUGAUGCGCUUCGCGCGUCGUGCUGUCAGGGAACGAGACCCAACGGCGAGCUAAGCAUGUAGUACCGGGGAUGGAGUGCCUUCGGACGCGGGUUCGAUUCCCGCCACCUCCACCA
rnacentral:tmRNA from 2 species